ACGGGUGCGUAACGCGUAUGCAACCUACCUUUAACAGGGGGAUAACACUGAGAAAUUGGUACUAAUACCCCAUAAUAUCAUAGAAGGCAUCUUUUAUGGUUGAAAAUUCCGAUGGUUAGAGAUGGGCAUGCGUUGUAUUAGCUAGUUGGUGGGGUAACGGCUCACCAAGGCGACGAUACAUAGGGGGACUGAGAGGUUAACCCCCCACACUGGUACUGAGACACGGACCAGACUCCUACGGGAGGCAGCAGUGAGGAAUAUUGGUCAAUGGACGCAAGUCUGAACCAGCCAUGCCGCGUGCAGGAUGACGGCUCUAUGAGUUGUAAACUGCUUUUGUACGAGGGUAAACGCAGAUACGUGUAUCUGUCUGAAAGUAUCGUACGAAUAAGGAUCGGCUAACUCCGUGCCAGCAGCCGCGGUAAUACGGAGGAUUCAAGCGUUAUCCGGAUUUAUUGGGUUUAAAGGGUGCGUAGGCGGUUUGAUAAGUUAGAGGUGAAAUUUCGGGGCUCAACCCUGAACGUGCCUCUAAUACUGUUGAGCUAGAGAGUAGUUGCGGUAGGCGGAAUGUAUGGUGUAGCGGUGAAAUGCUUAGAGAUCAUACAGAACACCGAUUGCGAAGGCAGCUUACCAAACUAUAUCUGACGUUGA
rnacentral:rRNA from 1 species